ensembl:lncRNA
UUCAGUGUUGGAGUUAUUUGGCAGAGUUGAUCAUGUCAGUGUUAACCCAACUCCGCAGAGAUGUAAUUAAGCUCCGCCCAUGUCUUUCACCUCUUCGGUUAGAGACAGAGAAGACAAGUCUGCGCCAUUUUCUACCUCUCAUGCAGUACUACACGUCAAAAUGCUGGUCCAGGUGAAGUACAGCCAACAGCAGAAGUAUGUAAAGUUGGAUGAGGAUGAAGGACUGUCUCACUUUCUGCAAUUCCAUGAAAAACAUG